rnacentral:rRNA from 1 species
GUUCACAUGAUUAAAGGUAUUCCGGUAGACGAUGGGGAUGCGUUCCAUUAGAUAGUAGGCGGGGUAACGGCCCACCUAGUCUUCGAUGGAUAGGGGUUCUGAGAGGAAGGUCCCCCACAUUGGAACUGAGACACGGUCCAAACUCCUACGGGAGGCAGCAGUGAGGAAUAUUGGUCAAUGGGCGAGAGCCUGAACCAGCCAAGUAGCGUGAAGGAUGACUGCCCUAUGGGUUGUAAACUUCUUUUAUAAAGGAAUAAAGUCGGGUAUGGAUACCCGUUUGCAUGUACUUUAUGAAUAAGGAUCGGCUAACUCCGUGCCAGCAGCCGCGGUAAUACGGAGGAUCCGAGCGUUAUCCGGAUUUAUUGGGUUUAAAGGGAGCGUAGAUGGAUGUUUAAGUCAGUUGCGAAAGUUUGCGGCUCAACCGUAAAAUUGCAGUUGAUACUGGAUAUCUUGAGUGCAGUUGAGGCAGGCGGAAUUCGUGGUGUAGCGGUGAAAUGCUUAGAUAUCACGAAGAACUCCGAUUGCGGAGGCAGCCUGCUAAGCUGCAACUGACAUUGAGGCUCGAAAGUGUGGGUAUCAAACAGGAUUAGAUACCCUGGUAGUCCACACGGU